rnacentral:lncRNA from 1 species
AGACAGCCCAACUCACAGCCCAUGAGGGGCCCUGAGUACUGCCUCUGACCUCUCUAUGGCAAGCCAAAUGGCCAUGGGAAGACCCCAUGGAGUGUCAAAAUGAUGCCGUUGAGGGCAAGGAUUUUAGACCGGUCAUGGAUUCUGCCUGUGCACUGGGCUCUACCACUUUCUAGCUAUCUGGCUACCAGCAAGUUACCUUAACAGUCUAAGUUUCAACCUCCCCAUUCGUGAAAUGGAGAUAACGUCUUAGUCAUAGGGGUUGCAAGUCUACUGCAUAUUAAGAGUGUAGCACUAAGCCUGGCUCUUCGUAAGUAUUCAAUAAGGAAACAGGCCGAGAGACGCAAGUCAAACAGCAAAGGAUGGGCUGCUGUCUGUCUGACUCCAAUGCCAAUGGUCUUUCCUCUAUAACCUAAAGCAAUA